UAGGGAAUCUUCCACAAUGGGCGCAAGCCUGAUGGAGCAACACCGCGUGAGUGAAGAAGGGUUUCGGCUCGUAAAGCUCUGUUAGUUAAAGAAGAACACGUAUGAGAGUAACUGUUCAUACGUUGACGGUAUUAACCAGAAGUCACGGCUAACUACGUGCUAG
rnacentral:rRNA from 1 species